rnacentral:rRNA from 1 species
AAACCAACAGGGAUUGCCUUAGUAGCGGCGAGUGAAGCGGCAAAAGCUCAAAUUUGAAAUCUGGUACUUUCAGUAUCCGAGUUGUAAUUUGUAGAAGCAACUUUGGUGAUGGUCUUUGCAUAAGUUCCUUGGAAUAGGACGUCAUAGAGGGUGAGAAUCCCGUUUAUGGUGAAGAACCCACACUAUGUAAAGUGCUUUCGAAGAGUCGAGUUGUUUGGGAAUGCAGCUCAAAGUGGGUGGUAAAUUCCAUCUAAAGCUAAAUAUUGGCGAGAGACCGAUAGCGAACAAGUACUGUGAAGGAAAGAUGAAAAGAACUUUGAAAAGAGAGUGAAAAAGUACGUGAAAUUGUUGAAAGGGAAGGGAUCUAAAUCAGACAUGGUAUUUUGUGAUCAACAGUCUUUCGGGACUGUGCACUCGCAUUUUACUAGGCCAGCAUCGGUUAGAAGGGGGUAAAAAAGAUUUUGGAAUGUGGCUCUUCGGAGUGUUAUAGCCAAGGUUAAUUGCCCCAUUUCUGACCGAGGACCGCGUCUUUUGACUAGGAUGCUGGCGUAAUGGUUUUGAUCCACCCGUCUUG